AAAAAGACAAACCCUGGGUUUCCGUGUCCAACGUUUGACUGUCCGUCUUAUAUGAAAUUUUUUUAUAAUUAGUAUUUUCAUUGUUGUUAGAUGAUAAAACAUGAUUAAUACUUUAUGCGUGACUUGUCUUUUUUAAAUUUUUUAUAAUUUUUUCAAAUAAGACGGACAGUCAAACGUUGGACACGGAAACCUAGGGUUUGUCUUUUU
rnacentral:pre_miRNA from 1 species